UUUUACAGUUCGACCGCACGCAUAGAGUCGUUUCCCGACACUGCUGGUAGCACUGAUAAAAAAAAAUCUGCAUAUCUGAUCACGCUCUCGCGAAGUGCAACCACUUUUCUGUCCAAAGCAAAUAACGUAGACACGGCGUAGUUGAUUUUAUUCUGAGACAAAUACCUGGUGGUGGAACAAGAUAGUUGCCUAAAUCGACCGACUUGGGCUUCUAUUUUCGUCUUAAGAAGCAGGACCGACUCAACCACGUCGAGCGCAGUCGUCUCUUCAGUUCGUCGCGUCGGAUAUGCUCGGAAGUGACCGUGAAAAUGACAAGAUCGCUACGAUAACCGAGAACGUUAACGAAUCGGCUGAUUUCAAUAAAGCCAUCUCGACAACCGGCUAUGGAGUAUUCAAUGUAUUACUGCUAUUGGCAACAGUACCAAUCGCUUGGACCGUCAUUUUCGAUACUACUUCCGGCGCAUUUAUCUUGGCAUCAGCUGAAUGCGACUUGGAGCUUACAUUCUUUCGGAAAGGGGUGCUUGUUGCAUUUCCUUACAUAGCUAUGACAACAACUGCUUUCAUAUGGGACUACAUAACACCCUAUAUAAGCAUGAAAAUACUGUUCAUGCUCGCAUUAUUAAUUGAUUCGAUUUUGAACAUCGUAAGCAGUGGCGUACAAUCUUAUUAUAUAUUUAUACUAGUCAAGUUUCUCAGUGGUAUUCUCGUAGGCGGCCCGUUAGCGAUGGUGAUGACGUACCUGACGGAAUUCCAUUCGGCGAGGUACCAGCCGCGCUUCACUACAUGGGCAGGAUUUCUCUUCGCUCUAGCGAACAUCGUGCCAGCAGCUCUAGGCAUAAUAAUACUGCCGUUAGAUUUGAACAUCAAUAUCUUCGGUCUAAACUACAAUUCCUGGCGUAUAUACCUGUUAAUCUGCUCAAUACCACCCGUCGUCGGCUUCGUGACGGCGACUAUGUUGCCGGAAAGCCCUAAAUAUCUCAUGGCAAUUGGCAGAUCGGAUACUGCCUUGAAAUUACUCAGGAGGAUGUACUAUAUGAACAUGAGACAACCUUUGGAAACGUUCCCGAUAAAAGCGCUGCUCGUUCGGCAAAAGACGCAAUUGACGCGUCCCGUGCUCGAGGCGAGUCUCGAGAGGAUGCGCGUUUCCUUGUACAACACGAAACUACUGGCGACGACGGCUUACCUGCCCGCCUUCUGCUUCGUAAGUUUCCUCCAAUUUGGAAGUAUGCUCGGAUUUAAUACGAUGAGAUUGUGGGUACCGCAUCUCUUUAUUAUUCUCAACAACUUCGAUUCGGCAAAUUGGACAUCGAAAGAUAGGCAACCUACCAUAUGCGAGAUGUUGGACCGACACGCGGCUCUACCCGGCAGACAGUACUUGAACUGCACGAACUUUGACGACGCGUGCUUCAAGUGGACUAUUAAUGGUGUGAUUUAUCAAAAUUCCACCGUUAUUGCGACGUCGGCCGUCGUAUUCUCAUUUCUCACCGGAUUCAUAACAAUCACCAAGCUUCGAAAACAGAUUGUAAUGCUCACGGCCUUCCUGAUAUCGGUGGCAAGCAGUUUCGGAAUAAAUUGGGCGCAGUCUCCGCCGUACAUGCUGACGCUGGCGUCGGCGGUUAUCGUGACGACAAGAAUAGCGGAGCCACAAGCACCAGCAUCCUCACCGUCAUUGGAAAUAUCGCUGCCAUUGUGGGAAAUUUGAUUUUCUCCGCGCUCCUGGGCACCAAGUGCAUUGUCGCUUUCAUGGGAUUGGGCUGCCUCUUUUCCGUCUGUUUCUGCGUAUCCUUAUUCUUUCCGCAACCCGUGAGAGAAUCAUCGAAGAAACUUGCUGAAGCUAACACGUCGAAAGUGUGAAGAAGAGAAACUUAGAAAUCAUUCAUGUACCAUGUACUUAGGAUUAUAAAAUUUAGAUUAAAUGUAUAGCUGCUUAAAACAAAGCUCU
rnacentral:misc_RNA from 1 species